rnacentral:rRNA from 1 species
UACGUAGGGUGCAAGCGUUAAUCGGAAUUACUGGGCGUAAAGCGUGCGCAGGCGGUUCGCUAAGACAGAUGUGAAAUCCCCGGGCUUAACCUGGGAACUGCAUUUGUGACUGGCGGGCUAGAGUAUGGCAGAGGGGGGUAGAAUUCCGACGUGUAGCAGUGAAAUGCGUAGAGAAUGUGGAGGAAUACCGAUGGCGAAGGCAGCCCCCUGGGCCAAUACGUGACCGCUCAUGCACGAAAGCGUGGGGAGCAAACAGG